rnacentral:lncRNA from 1 species
ACAGCUGUCCCUGUUCUUGGGUGCAUCACGCCGCACCAGUUUGGAGCUGGCCGAGCAGCUGGGCGUACUGGCCAGCUGUGACCCGCCGAGGCGGUCUGCUGGCCAUCCCGUCUCUCAUGGGCCAGAGUGGAUGAAAAAGGCAAACGGUGCGGAAAAUUGCCACGUCUUUCCCCUGGAAAUGUUGGAAGUUGCCCAUGAGACAGAGCCCUCAGGGAUCAGCCCAGGAGCACCUCUGGGAAGACCUGGUGUGGAGGACAACCAGCACUGCUGCAGAGGCCUUGAAUCCUUCUGGAGCUCUUUGAAAACCAGCCAGCAGAAGAUUAUUAGCUGA